rnacentral:rRNA from 1 species
UACAGAGGUGGCAAGCGUUGUUCGGAAUUACUGGGCGUAAAGGGCGCGUAGGCGGCCUGUUAAGUCGAACGUGAAAUCCCCGGGCUCAACCCGGGAACUGCGUCCGAUACUGGCAGGCUUGAAUCCGGGAGAGGGAUGCGGAAUUCCAGGUGUAGCGGUGAAAUGCGUAGAUAUCUGGAGGAACACCGGUGGCGAAGGCGGCAUCCUGGACCGGCAUUGACGCUGAGGCGCGAAAGCCAGGGGAGCAAACGGG